rnacentral:rRNA from 3 species
GAAUGCUGACAUAAGUAACGAUAAAGCGGGUGAAAAGCCCGCUCGCCGGAAGACCAAGGGUUCCUGUCCAACGUUAAUCGGGGCAGGGUGAGUCGACCCCUAAGGCGAGGCCGAAAGGCGUAGUCGAUGGGAAACGGGUUAAUAUUCCCGUACUUGGUGUUACUGCGAAGGGGGGACGGAGAAGGCUAUGUUGGCCGGGCGACGGUUGUCCCGGUUUAAGCGUGUAGGUGUGUGUUCCAGGUAAAUCCGGUUCACUUUAACACUGAGGCGUGAUGACGAGGCACUACGGUGCUGAAGUAACAAAUGCCCUGCUUCCAGGAAAAGCCUCUAAGCAUCAGGUAACAUCAAAUCGUACCCCAAACCGACACAGGUGGUCAGGUAGAGAAUACCAAGGCGCUUGAGAGAACUCGGGUGAAGGAACUAGGCAAAAUGGUGCCGUAACUUCGGGAGAAGGCACGCUGACACGUAGGUGAAGUGAUUUACUCACGGAGCUGAAGUCAGUCGAAGAUACCAGCUGGCUGCAACUGUUUAUUAAAAACACAGCACUGUGCAAACACGAAAGUGGACGUAUACGGUGUGACGCCUGCCCGGUGCCGGAAGGUUAAUUGAUGGGGUCAGCGCAAGCGAAGCUCCUGAUCGAAGCCCCGGUAAACGGCGGCCGUAACUAUAACGGUCCUAAGGUAGCGAAAUUCCUUGUCGGGUAAGUUCCGACCUGCACGAAUGGCGUAAUGAUGGCCAGGCUGUCUCCACCCGAGACUCAGUGAAAUUGAACUCGCUGUGAAGAUGCAGUGUACCCGCGGCAAGACGGAAAGACCCCGUGAACCUUUACUAUAGCUUGACACUGAACAUUGAGCCUUGAUGUGUAGGAUAGGUGGGAGGCUUUGAAGUGUGGACGCCAGUCUGCAUGGAGCCGACCUUGAAAUACCACCCUUUAAUGUUUGAUGUUCUAACGUGGACCCGUUACCCGGGUUGCGGACAGUGUCUGGUGGGUAGUUUGACUGGGGCGGUCUCCUCCUAAAGAGUAACGGAGGAGCACGAAGGUUGGCUAAUCCUGGUCGGACAUCAGGAGGUUAGUGCAAUGGCAUAAGCCAGCUUGACUGCGAGCGUGACGGCGCGAGCAGGUGCGAAAGCAGGUCAUAGUGAUCCGGUGGUUCUGAAUGGAAGGGCCAUCGCUCAACGGAUAAAAGGUACUCCGGGGAUAACAGGCUGAUACCGCCCAAGAGUUCAUAUCGACGGCGGUGUUUGGCACCUCGAUGUCGGCUCAUCACAUCCUGGGGCUGAAGUAGGUCCCAAGGGUAUGGCUGUUCGCCAUUUAAAGUGGUACGCGAGCUGGGUUUAGAACGUCGUGAGACAGUUCGGUCCCUAUCUGCCGUGGGCGCUGGAGAACUGAGGGGGGCUGCUCCUAGUACGAGAGGACCGGAGUGGACGCAUCACUGGUGUUCGGGUUGUCAUGCCAAUGGCACUGCCCGGUAGCUAAAUGCGGAAGAGAUAAGUGCUGAAAGCAUCUAAGCACGAAACUUGCCCCGAGAUGAGUUCUCCCUGAGACUUUAGGUCUCCUGAAGGAACGUUGAAGACGACGACGUUGAUAGGCCGGGUGUGUAAGCGCAGCGAUGCGUUGAGCUAACCGGUACUAAUGAACCGUGAGGCUUAACCUUACAACGCCG